GCUGUACCCCCAUUUUUGACGUGUUCACCUAUAAUGUCUGUUUGUUUUAUUCACACAUUGUUAUAAUUAUAAUGGAAUUCUAUGCGACUGUCAUACAAGUGAGAAGUUUAGCUAGCUAUAAAACCAGGUUUAGUCCACCAUUUUCUACAUAAAGAAAUGCCUGCAUCAAGUCAGGAAUAUGACAGUUGUUUUCAAUUCGUUAGAUGUGUUUGAGCUUUUGAUUUUGCUAUUUUACAAAGGACUUUCCGUUUUGAAUUUUCCUUGGAGUGGGAAUUUUGUUAUUUUACUUUCUAGUAGUGAUAUCAGGUGUUUGAUCUUCAAGCAUUCUCUUUUGGAGGCCUUACUAUAACUUAAUAUUAAAUCUUGUGGUGAUUGCAAGUGUUCAUAAAAGAAGCAAAUAUACUACUUAAACAAAUUUUGCUACACUUGAUUUUUGUCUCGCCUUGACGGAGUCAAAAAGCUGCAUACCAAAUAUCACUGACCUACCACUAGUGGUUCCCCAUAAACUGACCUAAUCACAAACUAAUACAUGUGUAACAAUGUAUUAGUUUGUGAUUAGGUCUAGUUUAUGGUGAACCACUAGUGGUAGGGCAAUGAUAUUUGGUAUGCAGUUGUAUAAGCAUUGGAAUAUCUCAUUUCCAUGGAGAUUAUUUGGCCCCGCCCCCUCAGUCAUGGUCUAUUGACUUUAAAACUUUUGCUUAGUUUAUAUAUGUAUUAGUUUGUGAUUAGGUCCGUUUAAGAUGAACCACUAAUGUCAAGUCAAUGAUAUUUUGUAUGCAAAUGUAUUGGCAUUUGCAAGUUUCAUUUCCAUGGAGAUUAUAUAACCCCACCCCCUCAUUAUGGUUCAUUGACUUUGAAACUUUUACAUAGUGAAAAGUCAAUGGUAUUGGUAUGCAGUUGUAUUAGCAUUGGCACAUCUCAUUUCCAUGGAGAUUGUUUAGCCCUGUGCCUUCAGUCAUGGUUCAUUGACCUUGAAUAUUUGCAUAACUUACAUGUUAAAGUAUUGCUGUUUUAAUUUCAACAGUUGCAUUAUCAAAAUAAUAAAUAGGUGAGAUAUA